AUUAAACGCUGGCGGCAUGCCUUACACAUGCAAGUCGAACGGCAGCACGGGGGCAACCCUGGUGGCGAGUGGCGAACGGGUGAGUAAAGCAUCGGAACGUGCCCUGGAGUGGGGGAUAACGUAGCGAAAGUUACGCUAAUACCGCAUAUUCUGUGAGCAGGAAAGCAGGGGAUCGCAAGACCUUGCGCUCUGGGAGCGGCCGAUGUCGGAUUAGCUAGUUGGUGGGGUAAAGGCCUACCAAGGCGACGAUCCGUAGCGGGUCUGAGAGGAUGAUCCGCCACACUGGAACUGAGACACGGUCCAGACUCCUACGGGAGGCAGCAGUAGGGAAUAUUGCGCAAUGGAGGAACUCUGACGCAGCGACGCCGCGUGAGUGAUGAAGGCC
rnacentral:rRNA from 1 species